UAUCUGGGAUAGCAGUUGCUCUGAAGGA
rnacentral:piRNA from 1 species